rnacentral:rRNA from 1 species
GGGUUGUGAGGUUAAGCGACUAAGCGUACACGGUGGAUGCCCUGGCAGUCAGAGGCGAUGAAGGACGUGCUAAUCUGCGAUAAGCGUCGGUAAGGUGAUAUGAACCGUUAUAACCGGCGAUUUCCGAAUGGGGAAACCCAGUGUGUUUCGACACACUAUCAUUAACUGAAUCCAUAGGUUAAUGAGGCGAACCGGGGGAACUGAAACAUCUAAGUACCCCGAGGAAAAGAAAUCAACCGAGAUUCCCCCAGUAGCGGCGAGCGAACGGGGAGCAGCCCAGAGCCUGAAUCAGUGUGUGUGUUAGUGGAAGCGUCUGGAAAGGCGCGCGAUACAGGGUGACAGCCCCGUACACAAAAAUGCACAUGCUGUGAGCUCGAUGAGUAGGGCGGGACACGUGGUAUCCUGUCUGAAUAUGGGGGGACCAUCCUCCAAGGCUAAAUACUCCUGACUGACCGAUAGUGAACCAGUACCGUGAGGGAAAGGCGAAAAGAACCCCGGCGAGGGGAGUGAAAAAGAACCUGAAACCGUGUACGUACAAGCAGUGGGAGCACGCUUAGGCGUGUGACUGCGUACCUUUUGUAUAAUGGGUCAGCGACUUAUAUUCUGUAGCAAGGUUAACCGAAUAGGGGAGCCGAAGGGAAACCGAGUCUUAACUGGGCGUUAAGUUGCAGGGUAUAGACCCGAAACCCGGUGAUCUAGCCAUGGGCAGGUUGAAGGUUGGGUAACACUAACUGGAGGACCGAACCGACUAAUGUUGAAAAAUUAGCGGAUGACUUGUGGCUGGGGGUGAAAGGCCAAUCAAACCGGGAGAUAGCUGGUUCUCCCCGAAAGCUAUUUAGGUAGCGCCUCGUGAAUUCAUCUCCGGGGGUAGAGCACUGUUUCGGCAAGGGGGUCAUCCCGACUUACCAACCCGAUGCAAACUGCGAAUACCGGAGAAUGUUAUCACGGGAGACACACGGCGGGUGCUAACGUCCGUCGUGAAGAGGGAAACAACCCAGACCGCCAGCUAAGGUCCCAAAGUCAUGGUUAAGUGGGAAACGAUGUGGGAAGGCCCAGACAGCCAGGAUGUUGGCUUAGAAGCAGCCAUCAUUUAAAGAAAGCGUAAUAGCUCACUGGUCGAGUCGGCCUGCGCGGAAGAUGUAACGGGGCUAAACCAUGCACCGAAGCUGCGGCAGCGACGCUGAUGCGUUGUUGGGUAGGGGAGCGUUCUGUAAGCCUGCGAAGGUGUGCUGUGAGGCAUGCUGGAGGUAUCAGAAGUGCGAAUGCUGACAUAAGUAACGAUAAAGCGGGUGAAAAGCCCGCUCGCCGGAAGACCAAGGGUUCCUGUCCAACGUUAAUCGGGGCAGGGUGAGUCGACCCCUAAGGCGAGGCCGAAAGGCGUAGUCGAUGGGAAACAGGUUAAUAUUCCUGUACUUGGUGUUACUGCGAAGGGGGGACGGAGAAGGCUAUGUUGGCCGGGCGACGGUUGUCCCGGUUUAAGCGUGUAGGCUGGUUUUCCAGGCAAAUCCGGAAAAUCAAGGCUGAGGCGUGAUGACGAGGCACUACGGUGCUGAAGCAACAAAUGCCCUGCUUCCAGGAAAAGCCUCUAAGCAUCAGGUAACAUCAAAUCGUACCCCAAACCGACACAGGUGGUCAGGUAGAGAAUACCAAGGCGCUUGAGAGAACUCGGGUGAAGGAACUAGGCAAAAUGGUGCCGUAACUUCGGGAGAAGGCACGCUGAUAUGUAGGUGAAGUCCCUCGCGGAUGGAGCUGAAAUCAGUCGAAGAUACCAGCUGGCUGCAACUGUUUAUUAAAAACACAGCACUGUGCAAACACGAAAGUGGACGUAUACGGUGUGACGCCUGCCCGGUGCCGGAAGGUUAAUUGAUGGGGU